UACGUAGGGGGCUAGCGUUGUCCGGAAUCAUUAGGCGUAAAGCGCGUGUAGGCGGUCCGGUAAGUCCGCUGUGAAAGUCGGGGGCUCAACCCUCGGAUGCCGGUGGAUACUGUCGGGCUUGAGUACGGAAGAGGCGAGUGGAAUUCCUGGUGUAGCGGUGAAAUGCGUAGAGAUCCGGAGGAACCCCAGAGGCGAAGGCGGCAUCCUGGCCCGCUACUGACACUCAGACACGACAGCAUGGGGAGCGAACGGG
rnacentral:rRNA from 1 species